rnacentral:antisense_RNA from 33 species
UGUAAUGGUGGCUCAGGCGGGGGCUUCUCACGAAGCGCCGGUUUCCAAUGUUGCCGGUUACGCCAACCCCGUCUGGGCUACCACCAGU